rnacentral:rRNA from 1 species
GACGAACGCUGGCGGCGUGCUUAACACAUGCAAGUCGAACGAUGAGCCUGGAGCUUGCUCCGGUGGAUUAGUGGCGAACGGGUGAGUAACACGUGAGUAACCUGCCCUUGACUCUGGGAUAACUGCGGGAAACUGUAGCUAAUACCGGAUACGACCCUCGGCGGCAUCGCCAGGGGGUGGAAAGAAUUUCGGUCAAGGAUGGACUCGCGGCCUAUCAGCUAGUUGGUGAGGUAACGGCUCACCAAGGCGACGACGGGUAGCCGGCCUGAGAGGGUGACCGGCCACACUGGGACUGAGACACGGCCCAGACGCCUACGGGAGGCAGCAGUGGGGAAUAUUGCACAAUGGGCGCAAGCCUGAUGCGGCAACGCCGCGUGAGGGAUGACGGCCUUCGGGUUGUAAACCCCUUUCAGCACCGACGAAGCGCAAGUGACGGUAGGUGCAGAAGAAGGACCGGCCAACUACGUGCCAGCCGCCGCGGUAA